GUGGGGAAUCUUGCGCAAUGGGCGAAAGCCUGACGCAGCCAUGCCGCGUGAAUGAUGAAGGUCUUAGGAUUGUAAAAUUCUUUCACCGGGGACGAUAAUGACGGUACCCGGAGAAGAAGCUCCGGCUAACUUCGUGCCAGCAGCCGCGGUAAUACGAAGGGGGCUAGCGUUGCUCGGAAUUACUGGGCGUAAAGGGCGCGUAGGCGGACAGCUUAGUCAGAGGUGAAAGCCCAGGGCUCAACCUUGGAAUUGCCUUUGAUACUGGCUGUCUUGAGUUUGGGAGAGGUGAGUGGAACUCCGAGUGUAGAGGUGAAAUUCGUAGAUAUUCGGAAGAACACCAGUGGCGAAGGCGACUCACUGGCCCAAUACUGACGCUGAGGCGCGAAAGCGUGGGGAACAAACAGGAUUAGAUACCCUAGUAGUCC
rnacentral:rRNA from 1 species